rnacentral:rRNA from 1 species
GAUUACAUGGAAUACCAAUUGCGAAGGCAGGUUACUACUAAUGGAUUGACGCUGAUGGACGAAAGCGUGGGUAGCGAACAGGAUUAGAUACCCUGGUAGUCCACGCCGUAAACGAUGGAUACUAKCUGUUGGAAGCAAUUUCAGUGGCUAAGCGAAAGUGAUAAGUAUCCCACCUGGGGAGUACGUUCGCAAGAAUGAAACUCAAAGGAAUUGACGGGGGCC